rnacentral:rRNA from 1 species
GAAUGCUGACAUAAGUAACGAUAAAGCGGGUGAAAAGCCCGCUCGCCGGAAGACCAAGGGUUCCUGUCCAACGUUAAUCGGGGCAGGGUGAGUCGACCCCUAAGGCGAGGCCGAAAGGCGUAGUCGAUGGGAAACGGGUUAAUAUUCCCGUACUUGGUGUUACUGCGAAGGGGGGACGGAGAAGGCUAUGUUGGCCGGGCGACGGUUGUCCCGGUUUAAGCGUGUAGGUGUGUGUUCCAGGUAAAUCCGGUUCACUUUAACACUGAGGCGUGAUGACGAGGCACUACGGUGCUGAAGCAACAAAUGCCCUGCUUCCAGGAAAAGCCUCUAAGCAUCAGGUAACAUCAAAUCGUACCCCAAACCGACACAGGUGGUCAGGUAGAGAAUACCAAGGCGCUUGAGAGAACUCGGGUGAAGGAACUAGGCAAAAUGGUGCCGUAACUUCGGGAGAAGGCACGCUGACACGUAGGUGAAGUGAUUUACUCAUGGAGCUGAAGUCAGUCGAAGAUACCAGCUGGCUGCAACUGUUUAUUAAAAACACAGCACUGUGCAAACACGAAAGUGGACGUAUACGGUGUGACGCCUGCCCGGUGCCGGAAGGUUAAUUGAUGGGGUCAGCGCAAGCGAAGCUCCUGAUCGAAGCCCCGGUAAACGGCGGCCGUAACUAUAACGGUCCUAAGGUAGCGAAAUUCCUUGUCGGGUAAGUUCCGACCUGCACGAAUGGCGUAAUGAUGGCCAGGCUGUCUCCACCCGAGACUCAGUGAAAUUGAACUCGCUGUGAAGAUGCAGUGUACCCGCGGCAAGACGGAAAGACCCCGUGAACCUUUACUAUAGCUUGACACUGAACAUUGAGCCUUGAUGUGUAGGAUAGGUGGGAGGCUUUGAAGUGUGGACGCCAGUCUGCAUGGAGCCGACCUUGAAAUACCACCCUUUAAUGUUUGAUGUUCUAACGUGGACCCGUUACCCGGGUUGCGGACAGUGUCUGGUGGGUAGUUUGACUGGGGCGGUCUCCUCCUAAAGAGUAACGGAGGAGCACGAAGGUUGGCUAAUCCUGGUCGGACAUCAGGAGGUUAGUGCAAUGGCAUAAGCCAGCUUGACUGCGAGCGUGACGGCGCGAGCAGGUGCGAAAGCAGGUCAUAGUGAUCCGGUGGUUCUGAAUGGAAGGGCCAUCGCUCAACGGAUAAAAGGUACUCCGGGGAUAACAGGCUGAUACCGCCCAAGAGUUCAUAUCGACGGCGGUGUUUGGCACCUCGAUGUCGGCUCAUCACAUCCUGGGGCUGAAGUAGGUCCCAAGGGUAUGGCUGUUCGCCAUUUAAAGUGGUACGCGAGCUGGGUUUAGAACGUCGUGAGACAGUUCGGUCCCUAUCUGCCGUGGGCGCUGGAGAACUGAGGGGGGCUGCUCCUAGUACGAGAGGACCGGAGUGGACGCAUCACUGGUGUUCGGGUUGUCAUGCCAAUGGCACUGCCCGGUAGCUAAAUGCGGAAGAGAUAAGUGCUGAAAGCAUCUAAGCACGAAACUUGCCCCGAG